UCUAAUAUGGCAGAAUAGUGCAAUGGACUUAAGCCCCAUAUAUAAAGUGCAACUUUUUUUAGAA
rnacentral:tRNA from 1 species